AAAAAAUUAGUUUAUAAAAAACAUAAGUUUGUCAAACUUAAAAAAUUAAAUAUUAAUAUUUUUUU
rnacentral:tRNA from 1 species